CCUACGGGAGGCAGCAGUGGGGAAUAUUGCACAAUGGGGGAAACCCUGAUGCAGCGACGCCGCGUGAGUGAAGAAGUAUUUCGGUAUGUAAAGCUCUAUCAGCAGGGAAGAAAAUGACGGUACCUGAUUAAGAAGCCCCGGCUAACUACGUGCCAGCAGCCGCGGUAAUACGUAGGGGGCAAGCGUUAUCCGGAUUUACUGGGUGUAAAGGGAGCGUAGCCGGCAGCACAAGUCUGGAGUGAAAUGCCGGGGCUUAACCCCGGAACUGUUUUGGAAAUUGUGCAGCUAGAGGGCAGGAGAGGUAAGUGGAAUCCCUAUUGUAGCGGUGAGCUGCUUAGAUAUUAGGAGGACCACCAGUGGCGAGGGCGGUUUACUGGAUUGUAACGGCCUUGGCGGCUCGACAGCGUGGGGAGCAAACAGGUUUA
rnacentral:rRNA from 1 species